rnacentral:lncRNA from 1 species
AUAUACCAGGCACCUGACUACAGAAGAUAAAAGGAAAAUUGAAAUAAUUUUUAACAACUCUAAUAGAUUUUUAGACAAAUUAGAAUUAAAGAUAAGCAAGUAUAAACAAAUAUCAAGAAUUAUGUAAGAACACAAAAUAUUCUUAAAGAUCCUUUAAAAAAAUCAUAAAGAAGAAUAUAGAAAUUCAAAAAUAUUCUAAAAUAGAAAUCUUAAUAAAAUAUUAAAAUAAAAAUCUUAAUUAAAUCUUACUCAAAUUCUAAAUAAAUCCUAAUCAAAUCUUAAAUAAAUCCUAAUAAAAUCUUAAUCAAAUCCUAAAUAAAUCUUAACCAAACUCUAGUCAAAUCCUAAACAAACCUUAAUCAAACCUUAAUGAAAUCCAAAAUAAAUCCUAAACAAAUCCUAAUCAAAUCCUAAAUAAAUCCUAAUCAAAUCUUAAAUAAAUUCUAAUCAAAUCCUAAUAAGUCCUAAUCAAAUCCUAAUCAAAUCCUAAUAAGUCCUAAUCAAAUCCUAAACAAACCUUAACCAAACUCUAGGCAAACUAUAAACAAAUCCUAACCAAAUUCUAAUCAAAUCCUAAAUAAAUUUAAACAAAUCUUAAUCGAAUCCUAAUCAAAUCCUAAAUAAUCCAAAGUAAUUAUUAUAGAAAAUUUAAACCUCAAUAACUAAUGAAUGAACCAUUGAUUUUAAUUCAAAUUUUAUACACUUCUUUACAACUAAAAUGAAAACAAGCACAAAUAUUUUGAAGAAGAUCAAACUCACCUAAAAGAAGA